GCCCCCGUAGCUCAGCGGAUAGAGCAGUGGUUUCCUAAACCAUGCGCGCAGGUUCGAUUCCUGCCGGGGGUACCA
rnacentral:tRNA from 1 species